rnacentral:lncRNA from 1 species
UUGAUUAGGGUUGGUUUAGGGUUUAAGAUUUGGAUUAGGAUUUGAUUUAGGAUUUAGGAUUUAGAUUAGGAUUUGAUUUAGGAUUUAGAAUUUGGAUUAGUGUUUGGUUUAGGGUUUAAGAUUUGAUUUAGGGUUUGAUUUAGGAUUUAGAGUUUGAAUUAGGAUUUGAUUUAGGAUUUGGUUUAGGAUUUAGUAUUUGGAUUAGGAUUUGGUUAGGAUUUGAUUUAGGAUUAAGAGUUUGGAUUAGAGUUUAUUUUAGGAUUUAGAGUUUGAAUUAGGGUUUGGUUUAGAGUUUGAUUUAGGAUUUAGUAUUUAGAUUAGGAUUUGAUUAGGAUUUGGAUUAAGAUUUGAUUUAAGAUUUAGGAUUUGGAUUAGGAUUUGAUUUAGGAUUUGGAUUAGGAUUUGAUUUAGGAUUUGAUUUAAGGUUUAGUAUUUGAAUUAGGGUUUGGUUUAGAAUUUAGGAUUUAGUAUUUGGAUUAGGAUUUGGUUAAGGUUUGAUUUAAGAUUUGGAUUAGGAUUUGGUUAGGAUUUAUUUAGAGUUUGGUUUAGGAUUUAGGUUUUGAUUUAGGAUUUAAGAUUUAAUUAGUUUUGGUCUAAAGCUUCAAUUAAGUUCAAUAGGAUUUUAACUAGAAUUAAAUUAAGAUUGAAUUGAUAUAUAUUUCAGUGAUAUUUGUGAUUAUUCUAAUAUUUCUUUAAGAAUCCAUAUUGUUUGUUUGAAAUUUCUUUGAGAUUUUAUUUGAAUUUGAUUAAGCUUGCUUAGCAUUAUUAUAGUCUAAUUAGA